GACAGCGUCGCACUCGAGUGGCGCCCUGGCUCUACAGGCCAGAUCCUGUCCGAUCUGGAUUUGACAUCACAGAAAGAGGGAAGAUGGAAACGAAUCAACACCCUGGCCCAUUACAAUGUGAGGGAUGGAGCCACCCUGGUCUUGUCCCGAGUUCUGCACACCCAGCAGUCUUU